rnacentral:rRNA from 1 species
AACGCGAAGAACCUUACCUGGGCUCGAAGCGCAGUGGACUGGGGUGGAAACAUCCCUUUCUCGCAAGAGACUGCUGCGGAGGUGCUGCAUGGCUGUCGUCAGCUCGUGUCGUGAGAUGUUGGGUUAAGUCCCGCAACGAGCGCAACCCUUAUCGUUAGUUGCCAGCGAGUCAAGUCGGGCACUCUAGCGAAACCGCCUCGGAUAACGGGGAGGAAGGUGGGGAUGACGUCAAGUCCUCAUGGCCUUUAUGUCCAGGGCUACACACGUGCUACAAUGGCCGGUACAAUGCGCCGCUAAGUCGCAAGACGGAGCCAAUCGCAAAAAACCGGUCUCAGUUCGGAUUGCAGGCUGCAACUCGCCUGCAUGAAGCUGGAAUCGCUAGUAAUGGCAGAUCAGAACGCUGCCGUGAAUACGUUCCCGGGCCUUGUACACACCGAGACGAC